UACGUAGGGUGCAAACGUUGCUCGGAAUCACUGGGCGUAAAGGGCGUGUAGGCGGGUAGGAAAGUCAGAUGUGAAAUCCCUGGGCUCAACCCAGGAACUGCAUUUGAAACUCCCUUUCUUGAGUGUCGGAGAGGAAAGUGGAAUUCCUGGUGUAGAGGUGAAAUUCGUAGAUAUCAGGAGGAACACCGGUGGCGAAGGCGGCUUUCUGGACGACAACUGACGCUGAGACGCGAAAGCGUGGGGAGCAAACAGG
rnacentral:rRNA from 1 species